rnacentral:rRNA from 1 species
AAAUGAAUUGACGGGGGCCCGCACAAGCGGAGGAACAUGUGGUUUAAUUCGAUGAUACGCGAGGAACCUUACCCGGGAUUGAAAUGGAGUGGAAUAACCGUGAGAGCGGUUAGUCAGCAAUGACCACUUUGUAGGUGCUGCAUGGUUGUCGUCAGCUCGUGCCGUGAGGUGUCGGCUUAAGUGCCAUAACGAGCGCAACCCUGACUGUCAGUUGCUAACAGGUUAAGCUGAGGACUCUGGCGGGACUGCCGGCGUAAGCUGUGAGGAAGGUUGGGAUGACGUCAAAUCAGCACGGCCCUUACAUCCGGGGCGACACACGUGUUACAAUGGGGGGGACAAAGGGCAGCUACCCGGCGACGGGAUGCCAAUCUCUAAACCCUCUCUCAGUUCGGAUCGGAGUCUGCAACUCGACUCCGUGAAGCUGGAUUCGCUAGUAAUCGCGCAUCAGCCAUGGCGCGGUGAAUACGUUCCCGGGCCUUGUACACACCGCCCGU